rnacentral:rRNA from 1 species
AAUUAUUUUGUGCAGUAGUAAAAUUUAAAUAAUAAAGGGAAUUUUGAUUUAGUUAUUUUUGUAAGUGUUGAUUAAAUAUGUGCCAGCAGUCGCGGUUAUACAUAAGACGUAUAUAAGUAUUUUUAGUUAAAUAGUUUAUUUAUUUAAUUUAAUUUAAUUUGAAAAUUUUAGGGUAAAAUUUAAAUUUUUGUUUUUGGUUAAAUCUUAUGUUAAAUGAUACUGUGAAAUCUAAGUUAUUUAAACUAGGAUUAGAUACCCUAUUAUUUUGGAUUUAAAAUUUUUAAACUUGAGUAGUAUUAGAUAUGGUCUUGAAACUUAAAGAAUUUGGCGGUAUUUUAGUCUGGUUAGAGGAAUCUGUUNCAUUAUCGAUAGUCCACGUUGAACCUUACUUAAUAUAAUUUAAUAUGUAUACCGCCGUUUAUUUGAAGAUCUUUUUAGGGUAAAAUUUUCUUUAAAUUUUAUUUGAUUUUAAUUCAGGUCAAGGUGCAGUUGAUAAUUGAGUGAUAAUGGAUUACACUAUUUGUAAAAUAAACGGAUUAAAAUUUGAAAUUAUUUUAUAAAGGGGGAUUUAAUAGUAAUUAAUAAUAAGAAUUAUUUUUGUGAUUUUAGCUCUAAGAUGUGUACACAUCGCCCGUCACUCUCGUUAUUAAGAUGAGAUAAGUCGUAACAAAGUAGGUGUACCGGAAGGUGUAGCUAGAUUGAU